rnacentral:misc_RNA from 1 species
CAAAGUUGAGAAGAAGAAGAAUGAAGCCGGGAAAAAGUCGGCCGGCGGUGGGAAAAACGCCGACGACAACAGCGGCGGUAUUGCAACUAUUCUGUUGAAGCUAGAUUUGCAUUGUGAAGGUUGUGCUCAAAAAGUUAGACGUUCCGUUCGCCACUUUGAAGGUGUGGAAGACGUGAAGGCGGAUGCCAGUACUGGAAAAUUGACUGUGAAAGGGAAUGUGGAUCCGUUAUGGCUCCGGGAGAAAGUGGAAAGUAAGACUAAGAAGAAGGUGGCGCUCCUCUCUGCUCAGCCCAAAAAGGUUGCCGCCGGCGAGAAAAAAUCCGAUGAGAAGGUUGAGAAAAAGGCAGUAGAGGAGAAGAAAAAAUCCAAUGCGAAGGUUGAGAACGAGGCAGUAGAGGAGAAGAAAAAAUCCAAUGCGAAGGUUGAGAACG